GGCCGGUUAUCUCAGCUGGUUAGAGUGUGGUGCUAAUAACGCCAAGGUCCCGGGUUCGAUCCCCGUAAUGGCCA
rnacentral:tRNA from 1 species